rnacentral:rRNA from 1 species
AAGCUCGUAGUUGAAUUUCGGGGUUCUACCGUUGGUCGGGCUAACCAGUCUGUACUAGCGUGUAGAAUUCCUACCUUCUGGGGAACCAUCAUGUUAUUAAUUUAGCGUGGUGGGAAACCAGGACCUUUACCUUGAAAAAAUUAGAGUGUUCAAAGCAGGCUUACGUCUGAAUACAUUAGCAUGGAAUAAUAAAAUAGGACGGUGGUCCCGUUUUGUUGGUUUCUGGAUCACCGUAAUGAUUAAUAGGGAUAGUUGGG